rnacentral:rRNA from 1 species
GUGGGGAAUAUUGCACAAUGGGCGAAAGCCUGAUGCAGCGACGCCGCGUGAGCGAAGAAGUAUUUCGGUAUGUAAAGCUCUAUCAGCAGGGAAGAUAAUGACGGUACCUGACUAAGAAGCACCGGCUAAAUACGUGCCAGCAGCCGCGGUAAUACGUAUGGUGCAAGCGUUAUCCGGAUUUACUGGGUGUAAAGGGAGCGCAGGCGGUGCGGCAAGUCUGAUGUGAAAGCCCGGGGCUCAACCCCGGUACUGCAUUGGAAACUGUCGUACUAGAGUGUCGGAGGGGUAAGCGGAAUUCCUAGUGUAGCGGUGAAAUGCGUAGAUAUUAGGAGGAACACCAGUGGCGAAGGCGGCUUACUGGACGAUAACUGACGCUGAGGCUCGAAAGCGUGGGGAGCAAACAGGAUUAGAAACCCUGGUAGUCC